rnacentral:rRNA from 1 species
GGGUUGUGAGGUUAAGCGACUAAGCGUACACGGUGGAUGCCCUGGCAGUCAGAGGCGAUGAAGGACGUGCUAAUCUGCGAUAAGCGUCGGUAAGGUGAUAUGAACCGUUAUAACCGGCGAUUUCCGAAUGGGGAAACCCAGUGUGAUUCGUCACACUAUCAUUAACUGAAUCCAUAGGUUAAUGAGGCGAACCGGGGGAACUGAAACAUCUAAGUACCCCGAGGAAAAGAAAUCAACCGAGAUUCCCCCAGUAGCGGCGAGCGAACGGGGAGCAGCCCAGAGCCUGAAUCAGUGUGUGUGUUAGUGGAAGCGUCUGGAAAGGCGCGCGAUACAGGGUGACAGCCCCGUACACAAAAAUGCACAUACUGUGAGCUCGAUGAGUAGGGCGGGACACGUGGUAUCCUGUCUGAAUAUGGGGGGACCAUCCUCCAAGGCUAAAUACUCCUGACUGACCGAUAGUGAACCAGUACCGUGAGGGAAAGGCGAAAAGAACCCCGGCGAGGGGAGUGAAAAAGAACCUGAAACCGUGUACGUACAAGCAGUGGGAGCACAGAGCAAUCUGUGUGACUGCGUACCUUUUGUAUAAUGGGUCAGCGACUUAUAUUCUGUAGCAAGGUUAACCGAAUAGGGGAGCCGAAGGGAAACCGAGUCUUAACUGGGCGUUAAGUUGCAGGGUAUAGACCCGAAACCCGGUGAUCUAGCCAUGGGCAGGUUGAAGGUUGGGUAACACUAACUGGAGGACCGAACCGACUAAUGUUGAAAAAUUAGCGGAUGACUUGUGGCUGGGGGUGAAAGGCCAAUCAAACCGGGAGAUAGCUGGUUCUCCCCGAAAGCUAUUUAGGUAGCGCCUCGUGAAUUCAUCUCCGGGGGUAGAGCACUGUUUCGGCAAGGGGGUCAUCCCGACUUACCAACCCGAUGCAAACUGCGAAUACCGGAGAAUGUUAUCACGGGAGACACACGGCGGGUGCUAACGUCCGUCGUGAAGAGGGAAACAACCCAGACCGCCAGCUAAGGUCCCAAAGUCAUGGUUAAGUGGGAAACGAUGUGGGAAGGCCCAGACAGCCAGGAUGUUGGCUUAGAAGCAGCCAUCAUUUAAAGAAAGCGUAAUAGCUCACUGGUCGAGUCGGCCUGCGCGGAAGAUGUAACGGGGCUAAACCAUGCACCGAAGCUGCGGCAGCGACGCUUAUGCGUUGUUGGGUAGGGGAGCGUUCUGUAAGCCUGCGAAGGUGUGCUGUGAGGCAUGCUGGAGGUAUCAGAAGUGCGAAUGCUGACAUAAGUAACGAUAAAGCGGGUGAAAAGCCCGCUCGCCGGAAGACCAAGGGUUCCUGUCCAACGUUAAUCGGGGCAGGGUGAGUCGACCCCUAAGGCGAGGCCGAAAGGCGUAGUCGAUGGGAAACAGGUUAAUAUUCCUGUACUUGGUGUUACUGCGAAGGGGGGACGGAGAAGGCUAUGUUGGCCGGGCGACGGUUGUCCCGGUUUAAGCGUGUAGGCUGGUUUUCCAGGCAAAUCCGGAAAAUCAAGGCUGAGGCGUGAUGACGAGGCACUACGGUGCUGAAGCAACAAAUGCCCUGCUUCCAGGAAAAGCCUCUAAGCAUCAGGUAACAUCAAAUCGUACCCCAAACCGACACAGGUGGUCAGGUAGAGAAUACCAAGGCGCUUGAGAGAACUCGGGUGAAGGAACUAGGCAAAAUGGUGCCGUAACUUCGGGAGAAGGCACGCUGAUAUGUAGGUGAAGUCCCUCGCGGAUGGAGCUGAAAUCAGUCGAAGAUACCAGCUGGCUGCAACUGUUUAUUAAAAACACAGCACUGUGCAAACACGAAAGUGGACGUAUACGGUGUGACGCCUGCCCGGUGCCGGAAGGUUAAUUGAUGGGGUUAGCGCAAGCGAAGCUCUUGAUCGAAGCCCCGGUAAACGGCGGCCGUAACUAUAACGGUCCUAAGGUAGCGAAAUUCCUUGUCGGGUAAGUUCCGACCUGCACGAAUGGCGUAAUGAUGGCCAGGCUGUCUCCACCCGAGACUCAGUGAAAUUGAACUCGCUGUGAAGAUGCAGUGUACCCGCGGCAAGACGGAAAGACCCCGUGAACCUUUACUAUAGCUUGACACUGAACAUUGAGCCUUGAUGUGUAGGAUAGGUGGGAGGCUUUGAAGUGUGGACGCCAGUCUGCAUGGAGCCGACCUUGAAAUACCACCCUUUAAUGUUUGAUGUUCUAACGUUGACCCGUAAUCCGGGUUGCGGACAGUGUCUGGUGGGUAGUUUGACUGGGGCGGUCUCCUCCUAAAGAGUAACGGAGGAGCACGAAGGUUGGCUAAUCCUGGUCGGACAUCAGGAGGUUAGUGCAAUGGCAUAAGCCAGCUUGACUGCGAGCGUGACGGCGCGAGCAGGUGCGAAAGCAGGUCAUAGUGAUCCGGUGGUUCUGAAUGGAAGGGCCAUCGCUCAACGGAUAAAAGGUACUCCGGGGAUAACAGGCUGAUACCGCCCAAGAGUUCAUAUCGACGGCGGUGUUUGGCACCUCGAUGUCGGCUCAUCACAUCCUGGGGCUGAAGUAGGUCCCAAGGGUAUGGCUGUUCGCCAUUUAAAGUGGUACGCGAGCUGGGUUUAGAACGUCGUGAGACAGUUCGGUCCCUAUCUGCCGUGGGCGCUGGAGAAUUGAGGGGGGCUGCUCCUAGUACGAGAGGACCGGAGUGGACGCAUCACUGGUGUUCGGGUUGUCAUGCCAAUGGCACUGCCCGGUAGCUAAAUGCGGAAGAGAUAAGUGCUGAAAGCAUCUAAGCACGAAACUUGCCCCGAGAUGAGUUCUCCCUGACUCCUUGAGAGUCCUGAAGGAACGUUGAAGACGACGACGUUGAUAGGCCGGGUGUGUAAGCGCAGCGAUGCGUUGAGCUAACCGGUACUAAUGAACCGUGAGGCUUAACCUUACAACGCCGAAGGUGUUU